rnacentral:rRNA from 1 species
GAUGAACGCUGGCGGCGUGCCUAAUACAUGCAAGUCGAGCGAACAGACGAGGAGCUUGCUCCUCUGACGUUAGCGGCGGACGGGUGAGUAACACGUGGAUAACCUACCUAUAAGACUGGGAUAACUUCGGGAAACCGGAUCUAAUACCGGAUAAUAUAUUGAACCGCAUGGUUCAAUAGUGAAAUACGGCUUUGCUGUCACGUAUAGAUGGAUCCGCGCCGCAUUAGCUAGUUGGUAAGGUAACGGCUUACCAAGGCGACGAUGCGUAACCGACCUGAGAGGGUGAUCGGCCACACUGGAACUGAGACACGGUCCAGACUCCUACGGGAGGCAGCAGUCGGGAAUCUUCCGCAAUGGGCGAAAGCCUGACGGAGCAACGCCGCGUGAGUGAUGAAGGUCUUCGGAUCGUAAAACUCUGUUAUUAGGGAAGAACAAAUGUGUAAGUAACUAUGCACGUCUUGACGGUACCUAAUCAGAAAGCCCCGGCUAACUACGUG